ensembl:lncRNA
CUCUCUCUCUCUCCCUCUCUUUUUUUUUUUUCUUAAGAUAUUGCUCUUAGGUUUUAACUAAAAUGGAUUUAAUGUUUUGUUCUUGUUCUUUCACCAUGUGGCUUAUUGAAAUUACUUUACGGAAUUAUUUUAAUCAGUGAUCACAUGCUGCUUCUAGGCCCAAGGUUAUAAAACCCUGGUCUGCAGACUGCAAGGCCAUUGCAAAUGGUCUGCAAAAACAAAUGUUCUACAGGACCUUCUCGUUAAGGGUUUGAUGAUGGGAGGGCAUAGUCAUUUGGGAAGGACUGAAAGAUGACAGAGGAAAUAUGUGAGGUAGCACUUGGAUAUUUAAGCUAAUGCAUUUUCUGUUUUUGGAUUCCCAAGUUCAAAUAAUGUUUCCUCAGCUUCACUGAUGUUUGAUAACUUGUUAAGCAAUCAGAAAAUUAAUGGAGAAUAUGAAUGAUGUUCUUUCUGCUAGCAAAGUGUGUAGAACGCCGCUAUGGUUUCUUGAUAGGAACAGCUGAAGAAGUAUUUUCAAUGGCAGACCAUUGCUCCUAUUCACACAUAUGUGGAAGCACCCAUCUCAAAAUCAGUUGCUAUUUGACAGCGUAUUGCAGCUUAAGGCUUUCUUGUUGUGUGAGUAUGUUAAAUAUAUAUUCUGGGAUACGCCUGACAAAUUAAAUUUACACAUUGAAGCCGGAUUCUUUUUUUUCUGUGAAUGUCUGUAGAAGUCUGUUUGAGGUAAAAGAAUGUAGAAUUUUAACAGCAGAGAGGUUUGACAUCUGUUUGUGGAGUGAGCUACUAUGUUUAUUGAUAUAGGACCUACUCAGGCAUGCACUUUUAAGGAAUGUUCUCUAUUCUCAUUUAGGGCUAAACAAGCUGAAUGAGGAUGGAUUUAAGUGUGUACAGACCACUUAAAUUGCCACACAAUGGCUAUAUCCUAUAUACAAUCCCUAAACGCUUGGGGCUUCUGGUAGUGUUGGAAGGCAACAGAUAUUGUACAAUCAAGCAUAACCUGGUGUGCUGAGUGGCAUGCUGCAGGACAGAACUGCAGCUGUCCUCAAGCAGCUUCUUCUUUGCUCUCUUACAUCUUUUCUCCUUCCCCUUUCCCAGGUCUGUUGCACAGAUCUGCCAGUCUGCUGCUUCUGGCACUGGGGGUCUAGAAGAAAAGAGGCAGCAGUGUCAUGCUGCAGCCACAUAUGGUGUGGGCACCAACACGAGGGAGUGUGAAGUGGGGACCAAGAAGUGAGGCUCAAAGCGUGAAAGUUAACAAAUUGCAUGCAUUAACUGGGGCUCUGAGCAGAUUCCGAAACAUUGAAGGGGGAGGAGAGGGAGACUGUUCCUGGUAAAAUGUAUUAUUUUUGUAGCUGCAUGCAAUUGCUUAGCAUUAUAAAUGUGAACAGAGACAACACUUCAAGUUCUUAUACCUUGGACGUGUAUUAUUUUAUACAGAGGCCAACCGAUAACAAAACAGUACCCUGUUUGCCUCCAUUAGUGACCUGUGCAACCAGUAAGGAAAGAAUUACCAAACUCCAGGAGGAGGAUGAGAGAUAUAAUUGCCUGAUAGGAUGAUUACAGAACAGGAAAGGAAGUAAAGUGAAACUGAAGAUCAUCUCUUUACUAGGAAGGAUGCAGCCUUAUUAGUGUAGAAGGGUUCAAUUCUAAUUCUCAAAGCUUUGCACUUCUUGGCUUGCUUGGAAAUGAUUUCUGUUUUAUUCGUGCAGACCCCUUUCUUCCUCUAAACUAGAACUCUGUUCAAUCCUUUGUCUGUUAGUCUGAUGACUUUUCCUCUUCCCCAGAUGAUUAUACGUUUUAGUAUAAUUGCUGUAUUAUUUCUUUUUGAAGUCUGGUUUGUGAUUUAAAUUACUUAAGAAAAGUUCAGAGAAAUUUAUCUGAGCUUUAAAUUUCAACUGAUGAGAAAAAAAAUAAAUGUAGCCAUACCAUUUCUUCCUUUAUAAUG